rnacentral:rRNA from 1 species
GGUCAAGUGAAGAAGCGCAUACGGUGGAUGCCUUGGCAGUCAGAGGCGAUGAAAGACGUGGUAGCCUGCGAAAAGCUUCGGGGAGUCGGCAAACAGACUUUGAUCCGGAGAUCUCUGAAUGGGGGAACCCACCUAGGAUAACCUAGGUAUCUUGUACUGAAUCCAUAGGUGCAAGAGGCGAACCAGGGGAACUGAAACAUCUAAGUACCCUGAGGAAAAGAAAUCAACCGAGAUUCCCUUAGUAGUGGCGAGCGAACGGGGAUUAGCCCUUAAGCUUCAUUGAUUUUAGCGGAACGCUCUGGAAAGUGCGGCCAUAGUGGGUGAUAGCCCCGUACGCGAAAGGAUCUUUGAAGUGAAAUCGAGUAGGACGGAGCACGAGAAACUUUGUCUGAACAUGGGGGGACCAUCCUCCAAGGCUAAAUACUACUGACUGACCGAUAGUGAACCAGUACCGUGAGGGAAAGGCGAAAAGAACCCCGGAGAGGGGAGUGAAAUAGAACCUGAAACCGUAUGCGUACAAGCAGUGGGAGCCUACUUGUUAGGUGACUGCGUACCUUUUGUAUAAUGGGUCAGCGACUUAUAUUCAGUGGCAAGCUUAACCGUAUAGGGUAGGCGUAGCGAAAGCGAGUCUUAAUAGGGCGUUUAGUCGCUGGGUAUAGACCCGAAACCGGGCGAUCUAUCCAUGAGCAGGUUGAAGGUUAGGUAACACUGACUGGAGGACCGAACCCACUCCCGUUGAAAAGGUAGGGGAUGACUUGUGGAUCGGAGUGAAAGGCUAAUCAAGCUCGGAGAUAGCUGGUUCUCCUCGAAAGCUAUUUAGGUAGCGCCUCAUGUAUCACUCUGGGGGGUAGAGCACUGUUUCGGCUAGGGGGUCAUCCCGACUUACCAAACCGAUGCAAACUCCGAAUACCCAGAAGUGCCGAGCAUGGGAGACACACGGCGGGUGCUAACGUCCGUCGUGAAAAGGGAAACAACCCAGACCGCCAGCUAAGGUCCCAAAGUUGUGGUUAAGUGGUAAACGAUGUGGGAAGGCUUAGACAGCUAGGAGGUUGGCUUAGAAGCAGCCACCCUUUAAAGAAAGCGUAAUAGCUCACUAGUCGAGUCGGCCUGCGCGGAAGAUGUAACGGGGCUCAAACCACACACCGAAGCUGCGGGUGUCACGUAAGUGACGCGGUAGAGGAGCGUUCUGUAAGCCUGUGAAGGUGAGUUGAGAAGCUUGCUGGAGGUAUCAGAAGUGCGAAUGCUGACAUGAGUAACGACAAUGGGUGUGAAAAACACCCACGCCGAAAGACCAAGGGUUCCUGCGCAACGUUAAUCGACGCAGGGUUAGUCGGUUCCUAAGGCGAGGCUGAAAAGCGUAGUCGAUGGGAAACAGGUUAAUAUUCCUGUACUUCUGGUUACUGCGAUGGAGGGACGGAGAAGGCUAGGCCAGCUUGGCGUUGGUUGUCCAAGUUUAAGGUGGUAGGCUGAAAUCUUAGGUAAAUCCGGGGUUUCAAGGCCGAGAGCUGAUGACGAGUCGUCUUUUAGAUGACGAAGUGGUUGAUGCCAUGCUUCCAAGAAAAGCUUCUAAGCUUCAGGUAACCAGGAACCGUACCCCAAACCGACACAGGUGGUCGGGUAGAGAAUACCAAGGCGCUUGAGAGAACUCGGGUGAAGGAACUAGGCAAAAUGGCACCGUAACUUCGGGAGAAGGUGCGCCGGCUAGGGUGAAGGAUUUACUCCGUAAGCUCUGGCUGGUCGAAGAUACCAGGCCGCUGCGACUGUUUAUUAAAAACACAGCACUCUGCAAACACGAAAGUGGACGUAUAGGGUGUGACGCCUGCCCGGUGCCGGAAGGUUAAUUGAUGGGGUUAGCGCAAGCGAAGCUCUUGAUCGAAGCCCCGGUAAACGGCGGCCGUAACUAUAACGGUCCUAAGGUAGCGAAAUUCCUUGUCGGGUAAGUUCCGACCUGCACGAAUGGCGUAACGAUGGCGGCGCUGUCUCCACCCGAGACUCAGUGAAAUUGAAAUCGCUGUGAAGAUGCAGUGUAUCCGCGGCUAGACGGAAAGACCCCGUGAACCUUUACUGUAGCUUUGCACUGGACUUUGAGCCUGCUUGUGUAGGAUAGGUGGGAGGCUUUGAAGCGUGGACGCCAGUUCGCGUGGAGCCAUCCUUGAAAUACCACCCUGGCAUGCUUGAGGUUCUAACUCUGGUCCGUGAUCCGGAUCGAGGACAGUGUAUGNNNNNNNNNNNNNNNNNNNNNNNNNNNNNNUAACGGAGGAGUACGAAGGUGCGCUCAGACCGGUCGGAAAUCGGUCGCAGAGUAUAAAGGCAAAAGCGCGCUUGACUGCGAGACAGACACGUCGAGCAGGUACGAAAGUAGGUCUUAGUGAUCCGGUGGUUCUGUAUGGAAGGGCCAUCGCUCAACGGAUAAAAGGUACUCCGGGGAUAACAGGCUGAUACCGCCCAAGAGUUCAUAUCGACGGCGGUGUUUGGCACCUCGAUGUCGGCUCAUCACAUCCUGGGGCUGAAGCCGGUCCCAAGGGUAUGGCUGUUCGCCAUUUAAAGUGGUACGCGAGCUGGGUUUAGAACGUCGUGAGACAGUUCGGUCCCUAUCUGCCGUGGACGUUUGAGAUUUGAGAGGGGCUGCUCCUAGUACGAGAGGACCGGAGUGGACGAACCUCUGGUGUUCCGGUUGUCACGCCAGUGGCAUUGCCGGGUAGCUAUGUUCGGAAAAGAUAACCGCUGAAAGCAUCUAAGCGGGAAACUUGCCUCAAGAUGAGAUCUCACUGGGAACUUGAUUCCCCUGAAGGGCCGUCGAAGACUACGACGUUGAUAGGCUGGGUGUGUAAGCGUUGUGAGGCGUUGAGCUAACCAGUACUAAUUGCCCGUGAGGCUUGACCAU